AAAAAAAGCCUCAACCAAAUGAAAUGCGUAUUGAUGGGGUUUGUUAUUUUUUUUAUUAAAUAUGGUUGGCUUCCUUUUGCUUUAAUGGAAGCAAGGAAAUCCUAAAGUUGAUGAUGGAUUCAAGGUUCCAAAAGAAAAAAUCACCUGCAUUAGGGCAUCUGUUGAUGUGGAUGAGGAGUAUAAAUCUCCUGGAGUUGAAGAAACUAGGAGUACUGUUACAAAUGGCAGCCGAAGCCACACUAACAGACGCUAUCGUGAUAAGACAACUAAUUUAACAACUAAUUCUGGUAAGCUUUUUAUCUUUAUUUUGUCUUUAAUAAGAUUUUUGAUGAGGAAGGCAACACACAGGCUCCACUUGCUAUGUUGGCUGACAAGACGAGCGGCGAUAUACUGCUUGACCAAGAUAUUGAAGGUGUAGUAGAGGAUUCAAUCUCUUCAAGCUGGAAAAGCCAAGGCUUAGCACUUCUUCAAGUGGAGUGUUAUUUAAUGUUGCAUUCCACGGUCGUUUAUCUUAGUCGGAACUUGAAUUUGGUGUUAUUGAAACAGGGUUUUGUAGCUACCUUGUGUACUAGCUUCUUUAACCAUAAUUGUUAAUUAUUACGUGUUUUAUAGCUUCUUUUA